rnacentral:rRNA from 1 species
UCUCUGCUCUCAUUGCCGUAAAACAUGGCAACUACAGUUCACUUACACCGCCUCUCAGCCCGGUACGCACCAGAAAAUCAUUGAUAUGGCUAUGAAUGGCGUCGGAUGUCGCGCCAGUGCACGCAUUAUGGGCGUUGGCCUCAACACGGUU